AACGAACGCUGGCGGCAUGCCUAACACAUGCAAGUCGAACGAGACCUUCGGGUCUAGUGGCGCACGGGUGCGUAACGCGUGGGAACCUGCCCUUAGGUUCGGAAUAACUCCCCGAAAGGGGUGCUAAUACCGGAUAAUGUCUUCGGACCAAAGAUUUAUCGCCUUUGGAUGGGCCCGCGUUGGAUUAGCUAGUUGGUAGGGUAAAAGCCUACCAAGGCGACGAUCCAUAGCUGGUCUGAGAGGAUGAUCAGCCACACUGGGACUGAGACACGGCCCAGACCCCUCCGGGGGGAAGCGUUGGGGAAUUUUGGAAAAUGGGCGAAACCCUGACCCAGCAAUGCCCGGGGGGUUAUGAAGGCUUUGGGUUUGUAAAGCUUUUUUCCCCGGGAUGAUAAUGGCAGUACCGGGAGAAGAAGCCCCGGCUAACUCCGU
rnacentral:rRNA from 1 species